UACGUAGGGUGCGAGCGUUAAUCGGAAUUACUGGGCGUAAAGCGUGCGUAGGCGGUUCUCCAAGUCCGUUGUGAAAGCCCCGGGCCCAACCUGGGAAUGGCAGUGGAAACUAGGGGACUGGAAUCUGGCAGAGGGGGGUGGAAUGCCGCGUGUAGCAGUGAAAUGCGUAGAGAUGCGGCGGAACACCGAUGGCGAAGGCAGCCCCCUGGGCUGAGAUUGACGCUCAGGCACGAAAGCGUGGGGAGCAAACAGG
rnacentral:rRNA from 1 species